rnacentral:rRNA from 1 species
ACCAGGGCUUCGGCCCUGGGGACAGCGGCGAACGGGUGAGUAACACGUGGAUAACCUGCCCUCGGCACCGGGAUAGCCCGAGGAAACUCGGAUUAAUACCGGAUAGCCUUUCCGACUCUCGGGUCGGUUCGAAAAGGUAGCUUCGGCCUCUGGCCGAGGAUGGGUCCGCGGCGGAUUAGCUUGUUGGUGGGGUAACGGCCUACCAAGGCUCCGAUCCGUAGCUGGUCUGAGAGGACGAUCAGCCACACUGGGACUGAGACACGGCCCAGACUCCUACGGGAGGCAGCAGUGGGGAAUCUUGCGCAAUGGGCGAAAGCCUGACGCAGCGACGCCGCGUGAGGGAAGAAGGCCUUCGGG